UCCCUAGUAGCUCAGAUGGUAAAGCAUCCGCCUCCAAGGCAGGAGACACAGGUUCGAUCCCUGGUUCGGGAA
rnacentral:tRNA from 1 species